GAUGAACGCUAGCGGCAGGCUUAAUACAUGCAAGUCGUGGGGCAGCAUGAGUAGCAAUACUUGAUGGCGACCGGCAAACGGGUGAGGAACACGUACACAACCUUCCUUCAAGCGGGGAAUAGCCCAGAGAAAUUUGGAUUAAUACCCCAUAAUAUAUUUGAUAAGGCAUCUUAUUAAUAUUAAAGCUUCGGCACUUGAUGAUGGGUGUGCGGCUGAUUAGAUAGUUGGCGGGGUAACGGCCCACCAAGUCUACGAUCAGUAGCUGAUGUGAGAGCAUGAUCAGCCACACGGGCACUGAGACACGGGCCCGACUCCUACGGGAGGCAGCAGUAAGGAAUAUUGGACAAUGGACGAAAGUACUGAUCCAGCCAUGCCGCGUGAAGGAUUAAGGU
rnacentral:rRNA from 1 species